rnacentral:snoRNA from 1 species
AUUUUGCAUAGGAUGAGAUGGCAAAGUAUAGUUCAUUUGACCUUGGACUUACUAUCCUUGUGUAUGAUGUUUAGUCUUUCGCCCCUAUCUGAUUUAGCAAUCA